CCUACGGGAGGCAGCAGUGGGGAAUAUUUCACAAUGGGGGGAACCCUUAUGCAGCAACGCCGCGUGAGCGAUGAAGGCCUUCGGGUCGUAAAGCUCUGCCCUAAGGGAAGAAUAUUGACGGUACCUGCGGAGCCAGCCCCGGCUAACUACGUGCCAGUAGGCGCGGUAAUAGGUAGGGGGCUCGCGUUAUCCGGAAUUACUGGGCGUAAAGGGUGCGUAUGCGGCCCUUCAAGUCAGAGGUGAAAGGCUACGGCUCAAGCCUGGUAAGACUGUGAAACUGUAGGGGUAGAGUGAAGGAGAGGAGCGUGGAAUACCCAGUGUAGCGGGGAAUUGCGUAGAUAUUGGGCGGAACACUUCUUGCGGAGGCGGCUCUCUGGACCGUAGCGGACGCUGGAGCGCGAAAGCGUGGGGAGCGAACAGGAUUAGGUAACCUAGCAGCC
rnacentral:rRNA from 1 species